UAUCCUAGUCCACACAAUUCCAAGCCCCAGUCUGUUUGUGAGAUUAUUUCAAGCACCAUGAUUUAGAUAACAGGAGCACAGUGAAGGUUGUUCACUAGACCUAACUGAUUAAGGGACUAGAUCUCUUCUGCAUCUACUGAGCUUAGUGAAAAGUAAAUCCUUCCCUUCUGGGAUGCAUCUCAUGAUCUGCACUCCACAUAAGGAGGGUAUCCGAUUCACAAAAUGAAAAAGGUACAGAAACGCAAUGCUUUGACGCAAGCUGUUUGUGAAGGAGACAAAACUUCCAUUUGCAAUUCUGCAAGUGCAGCAUAUCAACUAGACAGAAAGUGCCACGUGACUGAUUCCCACACUUCCCUUGUGCUAUACUUCAGAAGAAUCAGGAAAGAACAGUACUGUAUCCCCACACUCCCCUUUCUUUUUGUUUGGUUGCAUCUUCCUUUUGCACAACGGGGUAAAAGAGGGAUGCACAGCAAGCAGGAA